CAAGUAUUAUUACAGUUCCUGAGUCAACGUUACAUAUUUUUCUUUUUAUCCAGUUACAAAAUAGGUCAUUGGACAAUUGGAGUGCAGAUGAUAAACUAAAGUUCACAUUGUUUAUGCAUAUGUGUAUGGAAUGCGUAAGGAAUGACUCCUGUGAUCGUGGCAUUCCUCUUGGGAAGUUGACCAGAAAACCGAGUUUUCAGGUUGAGAAUGAUGAAAUAUAAGACUGAUCUCAAUUACCUUUCUGCAACUCUCUGGACAUAAACUCGAUUGGCUUUUCAGAACCAAUGCAUCCAAUGGGACAACAGCAACAGCUCCACAUGGAGAUGUGUUACUGGAUAUGUUUGACUGAGUGUGGACAAAUACAUCAGCAGAUUGGAGCAGAUCUUUGGAAUACACAAAACCUUUUUUCUUUGAAGCUCAUCUCCACUUUCACAGUAUUUUGCAACAGAUGGCACACUAGAGCUAAGAACUUACUCAAUUUGACAAUAAUUGAGAGUCAUCAGGUCAUGGAGCUGCCCAGCACAGAAAGUGAUCCAUUGGCCCUCCUUGUCCAACCCAAGCAAACUGACAUAUUUGACAUCCCAUUUACCUGCAUUUGGCCCAUAUCCCUCUAACCUGCCCAUGAACAUGUCUUCAUCGACGGGACAGCAGUGAAGUCAACAGCUUCAAGUUCCUGGAGCUGCAUAUCUCUGAAGAUCUGUCCUGGGCCCAGCACAUUGGUGCAAUCGCAAAGAAAACUCAUGAAUGUUUCUACUUCCUUGGAAGAUUGCAGAGAUUUGGUGUGUCAACCAAUACUCUAUUGAACAUCUACAGGUGUACGGUAGAGAGCACACUGACUGGUUUGGUAAUUCAAAGAGCUAGGAAUGAAGAUUACAGAAAGUGGUAGGAGUGGUAUUGAGGGGGGAUCUUAUAGAAACUUACAAAAUUCUUAAGGGGUGGACAGGCUAGAUGCAGGAAGAUUGUUCCCGAUGUUGGGGGAAGUCCAGGACAAGGGGUCACAGCUUAAGGAUA